AUUGAACGCUGGCGGCAUGCUUUACACAUGCAAGUCGAACGGUAACAGCACUUCGGUGGCUGACGAGUGGCGAACGGGUGAGUAAUACAUCGGAACGUGCCUAGUAGUGGGGGAUAACUACUCGAAAGAGUAGCUAAUACCGCAUGAGAUCUAAGGAUGAAAGCAGGGGACCUUCGGGCCUUGCGCUACUAGAGCGGCUGAUGGCAGAUUGGGUAGUUGGUGGGAUAAAAGCUUACCAAGCCGACGAUCUGUAGCUGGUCUGAGAGGACGACCAGCCACACUGGGACUGAGACACGGCCCAGACUCCUACGGGAGGCAGCAGUGGGGAAUUUUGGACAAUGGGCGCAAGCCUGAUCCAGCAAUGCCGCGUGCAGGAUGAAGGCCUUCGGGUUGUAAACUGCUUUUGUACGGAACGAAAAGCCCUCUUCUAAUACAGGAGGGUCAUGACGGUACCGUAAGAAUAAGCACCGGCUAACUACGUG
rnacentral:rRNA from 1 species